rnacentral:tRNA from 1 species
UAGGGCGUAGCUAAGCAGGAAAGCAUCUCUCUUACACUGAGAAAACACUCGUGCAAAUCGAGUCGCCUUAA